GAAUGUGAGGGCAAUCUAGCUGUGACAUCUGUCACCCCAUUGAUAGCCAGCAUUGAUUAGGCUGAUCGGUCUGGCUAAACGGGUGUCUCCUCCCUCCCUCACUGCUCCAUGUGCGUCCCUCCUGAAACUGCGCACUUGGUGGAAGAGGACAACGUCCCAGGAGUGUGCCAAGAUCACCAAUCUUGAGUCCUGGAUAUACAAUC
rnacentral:snRNA from 1 species